rnacentral:rRNA from 1 species
CCCACGGGGGGCAGCAGUGGGGAAUAUUGGACAAUGGGGGGAACCCUGAUCCAGCCAUGCCGCGUGUGUGAAGAAGGCCCUCGGGUUGUAAAGCACUUUCAGUGAGGAAGAACGCCUGGUGGUUAAUACCCAUCAGGAAAGACAUCACUCACAGAAGAAGCACCGGCUAACUCCGUGCCAGCAGCCGCGGUAAUACGGAGGGUGCGAGCGUUAAUCGGAAUUACUGGGCGUAAAGCGCGCGUAGGUGGCUUGAUAAGCCGGUUGUGAAAGCCCCGGGCUCAACCUGGGAACGGCAUCCGGAACUGUCAAGCUAGAGUGCAGGAGAGGAAGGUAGAAUUCCCGGUGUAGCGGUGAAAUGCGUAGAGAUCGGGAGGAAUACCAGUGGCGAAGGCGGCCUUCUGGACUGACACUGACACUGAGGUGCGAAAGCGUGGGUAGCAAACAGGAUUAGAUACCCUAGUAGUC